rnacentral:rRNA from 1 species
GACGAACGCUGGCGGCGUGCUUAACACAUGCAAGUCGAGCGGUAAGGCCCUUUCGGGGGUACACGAGCGGCGAACGGGUGAGUAACACGUGGGUGACCUGCCCUCAGCUCUGGGAUAAGCCUGGGAAACCGGGUCUAAUACCGGAUAUGACUCCAUGACGCAUGUUGUGGGGUGAAAGCCUUGUGCGGCUGAGGAUGGGCCCGCGGCCUAUCAGCUUGUUGGUGGGGUGAUGGCCUACCAAGGCGACGACGGGUAGCCGGCCUGAGAGGGCGACCGGCCACACUGGGGACUGAGACACGGCCCAGACUCCUACGGGAGGCAGCAGUGGGGAAUCUUGCGCAAUGGGCGAAAGCCUGACGCAGCGACGCCGCGUGAGGGAUGACGGCC